rnacentral:lncRNA from 1 species
CAAAAUCUUUUAAAGAGAAAGUAGGUUGGAUAUAUACUUGCCUUUGGUCCUUAGCUUAUACACUCUUAGCUAACAUCCUUAUCUUAAUAUGCUUUCUCAAGACAUCACCCUCAACUAUUCCUGAUUCUCUGCUAUGGUGCUCAUGCGGUUGCUGCAGCAUGAUACGACAUCUUAUCUAACUUCAGUCUUGAUCCCCAACGUCUGGUUCUACUCGUCUCGAACAAUCCGUAACUACUGAACCGCUAUACAACUCUCACCUUUUCUUGCCUUUGCUUGGUAUCACGCCCUCAAUGCUCGAUCCUAUUAUAAGCAAAAAGAUACUACUUUAGUAUCCUUCCGAAACGACUAUCCUAUUUCUACCCUUUUCGUGAUAUAUAUGUACAUAUACAUACAUGGCACAUUAUAUAGCACAUAACAAGUAGCACACGUUAUAGUUUUAUAACUUACAACCAACUCAGAAUAUUAUUUAACACGAGAACACGUAACUUAAGUUAAUAUUUCUACAGAAAAUUCGGCAUGACCUAUUCGUAAAUAGGACUAUCCCACUGUUUUCAAAUCAAGCUCUUUAAACUAAAUAAAAUACUAAUAUAAAGAAAAUCUGCCUCGACAUGCAGUAAAUCACAUAAGAAAAGUACCCGCCCCGACAUGCGGCACCUAACACAUAUUGAUAAAUAAUCCGCCCAGACAUGCGGCACCUAAACACAUAAUGAUUGAAAGAAACUAACAGCUUAUCUUUAAAACGGAAAGUAACUCAAUAUUAAUACAUUAUACUAUCAAGAAUAAUACUCUAACAUUUAACACGUAGCACUUAGCAGGUAUCACAUAUUUCCAUACAUUUACUUACCACCUACCAUAAUACUCAAUUUAGAUACUAUUCAAUUCAGAAUUGCAACUUGAGUUAGAUAAUCAUAGCAGUUCAAUUCUACACGCAAAAUCAAAUAUUAAUAGGCAAAGCAUUUUAACUAUUUAAGAUAUCGCAUAUUUAUAUUAUUAAUAUUAUUAUUUACUAUUAUUAUUACUAGAGAAAGUAAUAAUAAUAAUAAAGAAUAAUACUAAUAUACAUUAAUAUUCGACAUCCUAAAAUUACCAAGUAAACACAGUUCCGCACAUUAUCAUCAGUAAUAAUGCUAUAUAUUACUGGUAUUACUACCAAAUCACAUAAAUAUUAUUUAUAGAUUUAUAAAAAUAUCACGAAUCGGUAGCUAUAGAAAUUCGAUUAAUAGUCCGAUAACUAUAGGAUAUGCUCCCAUAUAAUUUAAAAUCUAAUUUUAUUUGAAAAUCGGGCAGCACCUCCUCUAUUUAUCGGACUACCAGUCGAUAUCAUAUCGACACAACAAAUCCCAACAAAACCUGUAAUCAAUCCGAAUAACUUACUUUAUAACUACCAUCCAACAAUCAAUACUCAACCCAACGAACCAACAACCGAAAUAAUAAAUAAAAGCGUAUAAAAUCAGUUUUAUGACUCUAGCCACACCACGAAUUACACAGCCACAUAACUAAUAACACUCGGAGAACACACACACCCUUCACUAAACCCAGUACACACACUGAUUUACACACAGGACACACACACAAAACGCACACACUCAGUCGAAAUACACACACUGCACACACAUAUACACGCGUAUAUACACGCAAUCCCAGUAGCGAAACAAGGCAGGGGAGAGAAGAGAAAGUGAGAGAGAUGGGGAGAAACCCCCGAGAGAGAGGGACUGAGACUGGUGGUGGCUUACGGCCGGCGGCGGCGGCUGAACGGCCGGAAAAGGAGGCGGCGACGGGCGGUGUUGUUCGGGGAGAGAGGCGGCAUGGAGAGAGGGUCGACGGGGAGAGACGACCGAGGGAGAGGGAAAGCCGAGAGAGAGAGCGGCGGGAAAGAGAGAUGAAGGAGAGUGAAGAGAGAUGGUGAGGGAGAGAUUUUGAGAGAGAGCGAUUGAGAGGAGAGAGAUUCACAGAGGUGAGAGACAGUGGGUAGAGAAAAGAGAGUAUAGGAAAUUAAAUAUUUUAAUAAACUGAAGUUUUAGUAACUGGACACGUAUCAACCAAUUUGACACGCGUCUCCUGAUCUGGCUGGCUCCGGACUGAUUUUGACAAAUUAACGAACAGACUCACAGAUAAAAUGAUCCAGAUAAAUACCAAAAUAAUUUUAGAAAUCUUAAAAUAAUUAAAAACUAAUAAAAUAUGAUUUUCAAGAUUUUUGGAUCAUUUUUGAAAUUAAUGGAAACACCCCACUUGAAACUACACAGAAAAUCAUUUAGAGCUGAAUAAUUAACGAAACAUCAAUUUAUGAAUUUUAUAAAUCUCUAAAAAUAUUUAAUGAAACUAUAAAGCGAUAAAAAUGAUUUUAUAUGCAAUACACUAUUUUAUAUAAUUAAAUAAGUGUAAACCAUAACAAAUGCAAAUCGAUAACACAGCUCAACAAUCCAAUAGAAAUAAAAUACACUGACUCUCGAUAAUAUAAUCACAUAAUAAUCAUUUAGAAUUUUUCAAAAUAAUAUAUGAAACUCAUUUUUGAAGGAACAGUUAUAUACCAAUAACACAAUAACCCGGGGUUUAAAUAUAAAAACUUGAAAACUCAUUAAACUAGAAUAAAAUAUUAAAUCUUAUUCUCUUCCUGGAAGAAAAUCACUUUUAUAAUAAUAAAUAGAUUUUAAAAAUCUGGGUCAUUACAANNNN